CGAUGCGAUCAUACCAGCACUAAAGCACCGGAUCCCAUCAGAACUCCGAAGUUAAGCGUGCUUGGGCGAGAGUAGUACUAGGCUGGGUGACCUCCUGGGAAGUCCUCGUGUUGCAUUCC
rnacentral:rRNA from 1 species